CAAUAGCGUAUAUUAAAGUUGUUGCAGUUAGAACGCUCGUAGUCGGAUUUCGGGGCGGGUCGACCGGUCUGCCGAUGGGUACGCACUGGCCGACGCGUCCUUCCUUCCGGAGACCGUCUCACUCUUAACUGAGCGGAGGCGGGAGACGGAACGUUUACUUUGAAAAAAUCAGAGUGUUUCAAGCAGGCAGCUCGCUCUUGCAUGGAUUAGCAUGGGAUAAUGAAAUAGGACUUUGGUGCUAUUUUGUUGGUUUCGAACACCGAAGUAAUGAUGAGAAGGGACAGUCAGGGGCACUCGUAUUCCGCCGAGAGAGGUGAAAUUCUCAGACCAGCGGAAGACGAACCACUGCGAANGNAUUUGCNAGGGAUGUUUNCACUG
rnacentral:rRNA from 1 species